rnacentral:rRNA from 1 species
UACGAAGGGUGCAAGCGUUACUCGGAAUUACUGGGCGUAAAGGGUGCGUAGGCGGUCGGGUAAGUCUGAUGUGAAAUCUCACAGCUUAACUGUGAAACUGCAUUGGAUACUAUUCGGCUUGAGAGUUGGAGGGGGGACUGGAAUUCUUGGUGUAGCAGUGAAAUGCGUAGAUAUCAAGAGGAACACCAGUGGCGAAGGCGAGUCCCUGGACAACUUCUGACGCUGAGGCACGAAAGCUAGGGGAGCAAACAGG